rnacentral:snoRNA from 1 species
UGGCGAUGAUGAUGCAAGUAGUCGGUUUAAUUUUAGUGAUUGCUUUAUUAGCCAUGCCCGCA